rnacentral:rRNA from 1 species
UGAAUUUCAGGCCUGGCUGGACGGUCCGCCCUUCGGGUGAGUACUCAGUGUGGUCGGGUCCUACCUUCUGGCGAAGCGUCAUGGCCUUAACCGGCCGUGGCGGGGAACCAGGACUUUUACUGUGAAAAAAUUAGAGUGUUCAAAGCAGGAAUCGCUUGGAUACAUUAGCAUGGAAUAAUGGAAUAGGACAAUGGUUCUAUUUGUUGGUUUCUAGGACCGUUGUAAUGAUUAAUAGGGAUAGUUGGGGGCAUUAGUAUUCAAUUGUCAGAGGUGAAAUUCUUGGAUUUAUUGAAGACUAACUACUGCGAAAGCAUUUGCCAAGGAUGUUUUCAUUAAUCAAGAACGAAAGUUAGGGGAUCGAAGACGAUCAGAUACC